GGGGUUGUGGCUCAGUGGUAGAGCACUUGCCUAGCAUGUGUGAGGCACUGGGUUCAAUUCUCAGCACCA
rfam:Ictidomys tridecemlineatus contig068481, whole genome shotgun sequence.